UGAGUAACACGUAGGAAUCUACCCAGUAGUGGGGAAUAGCCCUCCGAAAGGAGGGGUAAUACCGCAUACACCCUUCGGGGAAAAGGCCUCGGCCGCUAUUGGAGGAGCCUGCGCGCUAUCAGCUAGUUGGUGGGGUAACUGCCUACCAAGGCUAUGACGGCUAGCCGAUGUGAGAGCAUGAUCGGCCACAAGGUUACUGAGACACGGAGCCUACACCUACGGGUGGCAGCAACUAGGAAUCUUGCGCAAUGGACGAAAGUCUGACGCAGCAACACCGCGUGUGGGAAGACGCUCCUCGGAGUGUAAACCACUGUGGCAAGGGAACAAGUACUGAGCGUACCUUGCUAGAAAGCACCUGCUAACCACGUGCCAGAAGCCUCGGUAAUACGUGGGGUGCAAGCGUUAUCCGGAAUUACUGGGCGUAAAACGUCCGUCGGCGGUGUAUCAAGUCUUUUGUUUAAGCCUGGGGCUCAACUCCAGAUCGGCAAAGGAAACUGAUACACUUGAGUCUAUUCGGGGAAGCUGGAAUUCUCGGUGGAGGGGUGAAAUCCGUAGAUAUCGAGAGGAACGCCAAUCGCGAAAGCAGGCUUCUAGAGUAGUACUGACGCUCAGGGACGAAGGCUAGGGUAGCAAAAGGGAUUAGAGACCCCUGUAGUCCUAGCCGUAAACGUUGGAUGCUAGUUGCUCCGAUUUCGAUCGGAGUGGCGUAAGCUAACGCGUUAAGCAUCCUGCCUGGGGAGUACGGCCGCAAGGCUAAAACUCAAAGGAAUUGACGGGGGAGCGCACAACCGGUGGAGCAUGUGGUUUAAUUCGAUACAAAGCGAAAAACCUUACCUGGGUUUGACAUCUCGCUUAUGUCUCUCUGGAAACAGAGGGUCUUAAAGGCGAUGACAGGUGAUGCAUGGCUGUCGUCAGCUCGUGUCGUGAGA
rnacentral:rRNA from 1 species